rnacentral:rRNA from 1 species
ACUCAAAGGAAUUGACGGGGGCCCGCACAAGCAGCGGAGCAUGUGGUUUAAUUCGAAGCAACGCGAAGAACCUUACCUAGACUUGACAUCUCCUGAAUUACCCGUAAUGGGGGAAGCUCUUCGGAGCAGGAAGACAGGUGGUGCAUGGUUGUCGUCAGCUCGUGUCGUGAGAUGUUGGGUUAAGUCCCGCAACGAGCGCAACCCUUAUUUUUAGUUGCUACCAUUCAGUUGAGCACUCUAAAGAGACUGCCCGGGUUAACCGGGAGGAAGGUGGGGAUGACGUCAAAUCAUCAUGCCCCUUAUGUCUAGGGCUACACACGUGCUACAAUGGUGAGAACAAAGAGACGCAACACCGCGAGGUCAAGCAAAUCUCACAAAUCUCAUCCCAGUUCGGAUUGCAGGCUGAAACUCGCCUGCAUGAAGCCGGAGUUGCUAGUAAUCGCGAAUCAGCAUGUCGCGGUGAAUACGUUCCCGGGCCUUGCACACACCGCCCGU